AGGAUUCCCUCAGUAGCUGCGAGCGAACAGGGAAAAGCCCAGCACCGAAUCCCGCGGCCGAUACCGGACGCCGGGAAAUGUGGUGUUAGGGAGGAUCCAUUUAUCCCGAGAUUGUGCGGUGCGUCCAAGUCCUUCUUGAACGGGGCCACAGCCCAUAGAGGGUGCCAGGCCCGUAGCGACCUCCGCCUAUUUCGGGAGGAUCUCUCCUCAGAGUCGGGUUGCUUGAGAGUGCAGCCCUAAGUGGGUGGUAAACUCCAUCUAAGGCUAAAUAUGACCACGAGACCGAUAGCGAACAAGUACCGUGA
rnacentral:rRNA from 1 species